rnacentral:tRNA from 1 species
GAAUAAGAAGCGAAUUAUUGCAUUCAGUUUCGACCUGAAAUCUUGGUAUUAACCUUUAUACCCUUAUUCU